rnacentral:rRNA from 1 species
UUUCUCGGGUGGCGAGCGGCGGACGGGUGAGUAAUGCCUGGGAAAUUGCCCUGAUGUGGGGGAUAACCAUUGGAAACGAUGGCUAAUACCGCAUAAUAGCUUCGGCUCAAAGAGGGGGACCUUCGGGCCUCUCGCGUCAGGAUAUGCCCAGGUGGGAUUAGCUAGUUGGUGAGGUAAUGGCUCACCAAGGCGACGAUCCCUAGCUGGUCUGAGAGGAUGAUCAGCCACACUGGAACUGAGACACGGUCCAGACUCCUACGGGAGGCAGCAGUGGGGAAUAUUGCACAAUGGGCGCAAGCCUGAUGCAGCCAUGCCGCGUGUGUGAAGAAGGCCUUCGGGUUGUAAAGCACUUUCAGUCGUGAGGAAGGUGGUGUUGUUAAUAGCAGUAUCAUUUGACGUUAGCGACAGAAGAAGCACCGGCUAACUCCGUGCCAGCAGCCGCGGUAAUACGGAGGGUGCGAGCGUUAAUCGGAAUUACUGGGCGUAAAGCGCAUGCAGGUGGUUUGUUAAGUCAGAUGUGAAAGCCCGGGGCUCAACCUCGGAAUAGCAUUUGAAACUGGCAAGCUAGAGUACUGUAGAGGGGGGUAGAAUUUCAGGUGUAGCGGUGAAAUGCGUAGAGAUCUGAAGGAAUACCGGUGGCGAAGGCGGCCCCCUGGACAGAUACUGACACUCAGAUGCGAAAGCGUGGGGAGCAAACAGGAUUAGAUACCCUGGUAGUCCACGCCGUAAACGAUGUCUACUUGGAGGUUGUGGCCUUGAGCCGUGGCUUUCGGAGCUAACGCGUUAAGUAGACCGCCUGGGGAGUACGGUCGCAAGAUUAAAACUCAAAUGAAUUGACGGGGGCCCGCACAAGCGGUGGAGCAUGUGGUUUAAUUCGAUGCAACGCGAAGAACCUUACCUACUCUUGACAUCUACAGAAGCCAGCGGAGACGCAGGUGUGCCUUCGGGAACUGUAAGACAGGUGCUGCAUGGCUGUCGUCAGCUCGUGUUGUGAAAUGUUGGGUUAAGUCCCGCAACGAGCGCAACCCUUAUCCUUGUUUGCCAGCGAGUCAUGUCGGGAACUCCAGGGAGACUGCCGG